AAGGAAUAGUUUAUGUAGAAUUCCAGC
rnacentral:tRNA from 1 species